rnacentral:miRNA from 1 species
ACGCCUGGGCUCUCUGGGUACC